rnacentral:rRNA from 1 species
AGCGAACGCUGGCGGCAGGCCUAACACAUGCAAGUCGAACGAACCUUUCGGGGUUAGUGUCGGACGGGUGAGUAACACGUGGGAACGUGCCUUUAGGUUCGGAAUAACUCAGGGAAACUUGUGCUAAUACCGAAUGUGCCCUUCGGGGGAAAGAUUUAUCGCCUUUAGAGCGGCCCGCGUCUGAUUAGCUAGUUGGUUGAGGUAAUGGCUCACCAAGGCGACGAUCAGUAGCUGGUCUGAGAGGAUGAUCAGCCACAUUGGGACUGAGACACGGCCCAAACUCCUACGUGAGGCAGCAGUGGGGAAUCUUGCGCAAUGGGCGAAAGCCUGACGCAGCCAUGCCGCGUGAAUGAUGAAGGUCUUAGGAUUGUAAAAUUCUUUCACCGGGGACGAUAAUGACGGUACCCGGAGAAGAAGCCCCGGCUAACUUCGUG